UACGUAGGUGGCAAGCGUUGUCCGGAUUUAUUGGGUUUAAAGGGUGCGUAGGCGGGAUGCCAAGUCAGCGGUAAAAAUGCGGUGCUCAACGCCGUCGAGCCGUUGAAACUGGCGUUCUUGAGUGGGCGAGAAGUAUGCGGAAUGCGUGGCGUAGCGGUGAAAUGCAUAGAUAUCACGCAGAACUCCGAUUGCGAAGGCAGCAUACCGGCGCCCUACUGACGCUGAGGCACGAAAGCGUGGGGAGCAAACAGG
rnacentral:rRNA from 1 species